rnacentral:rRNA from 1 species
UACGAAGGGGGCUAGCGUUGCUCGGAAUUACUGGGCGUAAAGGGCGCGUAGGCGGACAGCUUAGUCAGAGGUGAAAGCCCAGGGCUCAACCUUGGAAAUGCCUUUGAUACUGGCUGUCUUGAGUUCGGGAGAGGUGAGUGGAAUGCCGAGUGUAGAGGUGAAAUUCGUAGAUAUUCGGCGGAACGCCAGUGGCGAAGGCGACUCACUGGCCCGGUACUGACGCUGAGGUGCGAAAGCGUGGGGAGCAAACAGG